GUGAGGAUGACUUCCAAGUUAUGCCGGAAGACCCUCGGACGGAGUAGACGAGGAGGCGGGAUGGACGCAUGGUUCUGUCCGUUGUCCGGGAGUGCAGAGCCUACUGGGUUUACUGCGAGGGAUUUUUCAUUUCUUUAUCAUUCGGGUGGGAAAUGUUUGAGGAGUUUUUGUUCAUCUUGAUAAACCUAGUUUGAUGCUAUCGUGCCCAUUGGUUAUGAUAACUUCUUUGAUAGAACUGCCUUAUGAUCAUUCUAUAGUAGUUGAUGAGAGGGAUAAAAAAAAAAAAAACUGGGGAUGUUUCAGUUGGUAUCAGAGCACACUCCUAAGGGACAGCAUGCGCAUGCCAUCUCGUCAAGAACUCGGCUACUUCUUCCCACAAGUUUGUGAGGAUGACUUCCAAGUUAUGCCGGAAGACCCUCGGACGGAGUAGACGAGGAGGCGGGAUGGACGCAUGGUUCUGUCCGUUGUCCGGGAGUGCAGAGCCUACUGGGUUUACUGCGAGGGAUUUUUCAUUUCUUUAUCAUUCGGGUGGGAAAUGUUUGAGGAGUUUUUGUUCAUCUUGAUAAACCUAGUUUGAUGCUAUCGUGCCCAUUGGUUAUGAUAACUUCUUUGAUAGAA